GGGCCUGUAGCUCAGCCUGGAGGUUAAUACAACCGCGCAAUAGAGCAUCGCCCUUGCAAGGCGGGGGUCUCGGGUUCGAAGCAGGUCCUGUCAGACAUGUUGACGGACUACGAAAGUCCCGACGGGUCCA
rnacentral:tRNA from 1 species